rnacentral:misc_RNA from 1 species
ACUGCGCCCCGACUUGAGUGGAACUCUUUUUCUGACGAAGCAAAGCGAAGGUUGAAAAAAGUGGGAACGGAAGGCGGAUACAGGC